UACAGAGGGUGCGAGCGUUGUUCGGAAUUAUUGGGCGUAAAGGGCGCGUAGGCGGUGCGGUAAGUCACCUGUGAAAUCUCCUGGCUCAACUGGGAGCUUGCAGGCGAAACUGCCGUGCUGGAGUGUGGGAGAGGUGAGUGGAAUUCCUGGUGUAGCGGUGAAAUGCGUAGAUAUCAGGAGGAACACCUGUGGCGAAAGCGGCUCACUGGACCAUAACUGACGCUGAUGCACGAAAGCUAGGGGAGCAAACAGG
rnacentral:rRNA from 1 species